rnacentral:rRNA from 1 species
UACGUAGGCAGCAAGCGUUGUUCGGAAUUACUGGGCGUAAAGGGCUCGUAGGUGGCCAACUAAGUCAGACGUGAAAUCCCUCAGCUUAACUGGGGAACUGCGUCUGAUACUGGAUGGCUUGAGUUUGGGAGAGGGAUGCGGAAUUCCAGGUGUAGCGGUGAAAUGCGUAGAUAUCUGGAGGAACACCGGUGGCGAAGGCGGCAUCCUGGACCAACACUGACACUGAGGCACGAAGGCCAGGGGAGCAAACGGG